rnacentral:rRNA from 1 species
AGUGAACGCUGGCGGUAGGCCUAACACAUGCAAGUCGAACGGCAGCACAGUAAGAGCUUGCUCUUACGGGUGGCGAGUGGCGGACGGGUGAGGAAUACAUCGGAAUCUACUUUUUCGUGGGGGAUAACGUAGGGAAACUUACGCUAAUACCGCAUACGACCUACGGGUGAAAGCAGGGGAUCUUCGGACCUUGCGCGAUUGAAUGAGCCGAUGUCGGAUUAGCUAGUUGGCGGGGUAAAGGCCCACCAAGGCGACGAUCCGUAGCUGGUCUGAGAGGAUGAUCAGACACACUGGAACUGAGACACGGUCCAGACUCCUACGGGAGGCAGCAGUGGGGAAUAUUGGACAAGGGGCGCGAGCCUGAUCCAGCCAUACCGCGUGGGUGCAGAAGGACCUAGGGUUGUAAAGCCCUUUUGUUGGGAAAGAAAAGCAGCAGGUUAAUACCCCGCUGUUCUGACGGUACCAAAAGAAUAAGCACCGGCUAACUUCGUG